GGUAGCUCAGUGGUAGAGCAGUUGACUGUUAAUCAAUUGGUCGCUGGUUCGAGUCCGGCC
rnacentral:ncRNA from 14 species